CUGGAGGUAUCAGAAGUGCGAAUGCUGACAUAAGUAACGAUAAAGCGGGUGAAAAGCCCGCUCGCCGGAAGACCAAGGGUUCCUGUCCAACGUUAAUCGGGGCAGGGUGAGUCGACCCCUAAGGCGAGGCCGAAAGGCGUAGUCGAUGGGAAACAGGUUAAUAUUCCUGUACUUGGUGUUACUGCGAAGGGGGGACGGAGAAGGCUAUGUUGGCCGGGCGACGGUUGUCCCGGUUUAAGCGUGUAGGCUGGUUUUCCAGGCAAAUCCGGAAAAUCAAGGCUGAGGCGUGAUGACGAGGCACUGCGGUGCUGAAGCAACAAAUGCCCUGCUUCCAGGAAAAGCCUCUAAGCAUCAGGUAACAUCAAAUCGUACCCCAAACCGACACAGGUGGUCAGGUAGAGAAUACCAAGGCGCUUGAGAGAACUCGGGUGAAGGAACUAGGCAAAAUGGUGCCGUAACUUCGGGAGAAGGCACGCUGAUAUGUAGGUGAAGUCCCUCGCGGAUGGAGCUGAAAUCAGUCGAAGAUACCAGCUGGCUGCAACUGUUUAUUAAAAACACAGCACUGUGCAAACACGAAAGUGGACGUAUACGGUGUGACGCCUGCCCGGUGC
rnacentral:rRNA from 1 species